UAAAAGUUUUAUUUUAGCUUAAUAUAUUAAUUAAUAAUAUUUUUAUAUAUAAAAUUUUUUGUUUAAAAUUUUUUAUUUUAAUAAUAAAAAUUUUUAUAAUUAUUUAUAAUUUAUAAAUUUUAUAAUAUUUAAGGAAUUAAGAAUAAGAUAUUUGUUUUAGUAUUAACAAAAUUUGUGCCAGCAGUUGCGGUUAUACAGAUAAUACAAUUAAUAUUUAUUAGUUAAUAAUUAAUUAUAUUAAAUUUUAAUUAAUGUUAAAUUUAUUAAGUGAAAUUUUAAAUUUGAAUUUAUUAAAAAAUAAAAUUAUGAAGUUAUUAAAAUUUUAUUAUAAACUAGGAUUAGAUACCCUAUUAUAAAAAUUGUAAAAUUAAUAUAUUAGAUUAGUAGUAGUUAUUUUCUUAAAAAUUAAAAAAUUUGGCGGUAUUUUAGUCUUUUCAGAGGAACCUGUUCUAUAAUUGAUAUUCCACGAUUAAAUGUACUUAUUAUAAUGGUUUAUAUAUCAUCGUAGUUUGAAUAUUUUUUAAGGAUUUUAAUAUUCAAAAUUUAUUAUAAUAAAAAAAAUCAGAUCAAGGUAUAGCUUAUAAAUAAGAAGAAAUGGGUUACAAUAAAUAUAUUUAAAUGAAUUGAUAAUUGUAAAAUUUUUAUGAAAUUGGAUUUGAAAGUAAUAUAAUUAAUUUUAAUUAUAUGAUUUAGGCUCUAAAAUAUGCACAUAUCGCCCGUCGCUUUCAUAUAAGAUGAGAUAAGUCGUAACAAAGUAGAUGUACUGGAAAGUGUACCUAGAAAUA
rnacentral:ncRNA from 1 species